AGUGAACGCUGGCGGUAGGCCUAACACAUGCAAGUCGAACGGCAGCACAGUAAGAGCUUGCUCUUACGGGUGGCGAGUGGCGGACGGGUGAGGAAUACAUCGGAAUCUACUUUUUCGUGGGGGAUAACGUAGGGAAACUUACGCUAAUACCGCAUACGACCUACGGGUGAAAGCAGGGGAUCUUCGGACCUUGCGCGAUUGAAUGAGCCGAUGUCGGAUUAGUUAGUUGGCGGGGUAAAGGCCCACCAAGGCGACGAUCCGUAGCUGGUCUGAGAGGGUGGUCACACACACGGGAACAGAGGCACGGCCCAGACUCCGAGAGUGAGCCGCGGUGGGGAAUAUUGGGCGAUGGAGGAGAGCCGGAUCCAGCCAUACCGCGGGAGGGAUGAAGGCCUUCGGGUUGUAGAGCCCUUUUGUUGGGAGAGAAAAACAGCAGGUUAAUACCCCACUGUUCUGACGGUACCCAAAGAAUAAGCACCGGCUAACUUCGUG
rnacentral:rRNA from 1 species